rnacentral:rRNA from 1 species
AUUGAACGCUGGCGGCAGGCCUAACACAUGCAAGUCGAGCGAGCGGCGGACGGGUGAGUAAUGUAUGGGGACUGCCCGAUAGAGGGGGAUAACUACUGGAAACGGUGGCUAAUACCGCAUACUAUCGGAUAACCCAUAUGGGAUUAGCUAGUAGGUGGGGUAAAGGCUCACCUAGGCGACGAUCUCUAGCUGGUCUGUGAGGAUGAUCAGCCACACGGGUACUGAGACACGGCCCAGACUCCUACGGAGGCAGCAGUGGGGAAUAUUGCACAAGGGGCGCAAGCCUGAUGCAGCCAUGCCGCGUGUAUGAAGAAGGCCUUCGGGUUGUAAAGUACUUUCAGUCGGGAGGCGUUACCGACAGAAGAAGCACCGGCUAACUCCGUGCCAGCAGCCGCGGUAAUUC